rnacentral:rRNA from 1 species
CUUCCUACGGGGGGCAGCAGUGGGGAAUAUUGCACAAUGGGGGAAACCCUGAUGCAGCGACGCCGCGUGAGUGAAGAAGUAUUUCGGUACGUAAAGCUCUAUCAGCAGGGAAGAAAUAAAGUCCUUUGGACUUUGGACGGUACCUGACUAAGAAGCCCCGGCUAACUACGUGCCAGCAGCCGCGGUAAUACGUAGGGGGCAAGCGUUAUCCGGAUUUACUGGGUGUAAAGGGAGCGUAGACGGAGAAGCAAGUCUGAAGUGAAAGCCCGUGGCUUAACCACGGGACUGCUUUGGAAACUGUUUGA